rnacentral:lncRNA from 1 species
CUCAGUUGGAGGUUCUUCUGCAGAGCGUCCAGCACCGCUCUUCCGCCGGCAUGGAUACAGAAAUGCUCGAAUGCGAGCUUAAAAUCUGGUACGUACGGUUUUACCUUUGCUUUCAGUACUUUCCUUUUCAACAUUGAGACGAAGAAGGCGAAUUGCUCUGAAAAUGGUAGUACCAAAGGGCCUAGAGUCGUGAUGUUCGUCUUUAAUGUUUCACUUGCAACCGCCAUUAAUUCGCGCGCGAGUGAAACUCCAAUUUUCCCUUCCUCGUCCUCUUUCUGAUAAACGCAAUUAUAGCUUUCGUCGUCAGCUCCUUUGUGAGUCCGAAUCGUGUGAAUCAACUCGUAUUUUGAGCGGGAUCGAUCCGUGUGCUUGUUCGAUAACAGCACGGCGGCUCCUCCCAUCCGAAACAGACAAUUGCUAAUCAGCAUCGAACGAUCGUUACCAAAGUACCAAUUUAGGGUUAUACUUUCGGUGCUCACAACUACGGCGUACGUGUUAGGGUUAGCGUUGAGAAGGUCCUUAGCAAGCGUAAUCGAGAUAGGGCUUGCGCUACAUCCCAUUCCACUGAGAUUGUAGGCUUUAACGUCGGUUCGAAGCUUGUAGUGGUUAACGAUCAUUGCGGACAGCGAUGGUAUGGGGUUGAAUAAGCUGCAAUUGACGAUUAGAAUUCCUAUUUCACUCGGGUCCAAGCCGGUUUUCUCGAAGAGAGCAUCGAGGGCGCCGAACAUUACAGUCUCCGCUUCGAAGCGUGCUUCGUCAAGACACAAAUUCGGCGGCCGAGAAGUAAUUCCUCUCGACAAGUAGGUUUCGUCGCCAAGACCGGCUCGUUUUGCUACUUUCGACAUAAACUUAAGGGCAUCUUCUUGAAAGCCACCGUUCGCUGCACUCAUUUCCAGGAAACUGUCCACCGUCAUCUUCCUCGCGUCCGCUGGUUUGUGACAGGCAAACUCCACCAGAUAAACCGGCGUGGAUCGCUUGGAACAGUAGAAGCCAAGGAGAAAUAUCGACAGCAAACCGGCUAUGGCCGUAGUUGCAUCAAUCUCAUAUUGUAAUCUUGUGGUCGGCAGUAACUCAGAUACUCGGAAGAGUUUGAAACCGGAAAGUUGAAUAGCGAGGGAAAUAAACAGAGGCAAAAUGACGAGGAACAUAAGAGUAGUGGCAGAGUUGGAUGAGUACCCAUAUCCCAAUUUUACAUAUUUAAGCUUGACUGACUGUAGAAAGUCCGGCAAGCGUUGCCGGAUUCUGAUAAGGAUGGAAGAGGAGUCCUUAAGCUCCAUUUCUGCCGUUAAUCUCUCUGUAUCCAUCUCUAUGCUCUCCAUAUACAACGUCUUGCUAAUUUCUCUGUGGUUGUCUUUGUGGAGCACACUCUCAAAUCUCACCCCUGUUGAAGUAAACUAUGUACCAUCUUAUAUAAACACAAGGAGGCCAUUUCAGAGAAGAAGAGGGACAGUGGAAGAAAUUAAUGAAGGCAAAGACUUUCACCCUUUCACACUUCCAGAUGGUUGGGUAGUGAGAAGCACACACAUACACACACACACAGAAAGAGAGAGAGAGAGAGAGAGAGAGAGAGAGAGAGAGAGAGAGAGACAAAGAGGUAGAGAGGGUUUGGCACUUGGCGGCACCAAGCAAGAAUAGAUAUAAACAAUAGAAGAAGAGUGAAGGGAAAGAAGGAAGGAGAGGGUAUGCAGAAAAUAAAUGGGAGUAGUUCCAAGAAUGGUGAGAUAGCUCAACAACCACACACCUCUGCAAGUAAGUUGGAGAGAAAGACCUUUCUAAUAAGGAACUUAAUUAAUGGAGAAAUCCUUUUCAAAUUGUAGUGGUUUUGAGAUUGGUAGUUAGAUAUUUAUUUGCAUAUCUUCUUUAAUGACAUCUCUCUCCGUGCUCUUCUGGUUAGCUAAGCAGCCCUUAUUUGGAUUGGACAAAUAUCUAUCUCCAUGCUAAACAGAAUUCCAUCUCCGACUUAGUUCUUCCAUCUAGCUUUUGCUUCUUUUUUUUUUUUUUUUUUGCAGGUAUGAAUGAAUAUAAUUUGCCAAUGCCUGAACCUUUUUUACUCCUAAAUGUUACUCUAAUCACCAUUUUCCCUUUUUGAAGCAUUUUCAUGUUAACUUCAUUGAAUUUUGAAUCUUGUAUUGGAAGGAUGUCAUUACUAUUGGUGAUGUCACUCUUUUCGUAGGACUACUGUGCAUAUGCCUGAAACAAAGUUGGGACCAUGGGCUAUAAAACAAGUUGCUUAUUUUGGGUUUUGUUUAUCCUUCCACGGAGACUCAAAACAGAGACGACAGAGCCCAACCUUUCCUUUCUCGGUUAGCCUUUCUCUUAAUUACACACGAUCAAAUCAAGGAUUGUUAUGUCUCUCCUCUUCUCCCUUUCUUGUUAAUCUGAAUACUACUUUUUCUCAUCGUAGAAUAUUAUUGUUCGAAAACAUAUACUUUCGUAAAAUUAUAUACGAGUCCAUAAAUAUUUUUGUAACAAUUUAGUUUAUACCUCAAAAUUUGCAACAAUUUAACCUCCAAAUUCUAGCGUUUGUAGUGGAAUCAAUUUGAAACUAAGGAUUUACUUUUUAUGGUAAAAACUAUUUGUAAAAUAUAAUGAAAUUUCUUACAUUAGAGACAUAAAGUAUAAACAAAGUUAUAUAAUACAAAAUGACACCCAACUACGAUGAGAUUUUUCACAACACAGAUUAAAUAUUACAAAUUUAAAUUAAAUAGAUUGAAUUUAUACUUGUUAAAAUUAAUAAACUAAAUUGUUAAUUUAGAAGUCCAUGGAUUGAAUUUCAUGAAAGUUGGAUUUGAUAGAUAACCAUUUUGUUAAUAAAAGUAGGGUUGGGUUUUGACAACGAUUCCAACUCCCUUCCAUUGUUCCUUUUAUGUUCGUUGACUCUUGGAUCCAGUUUACUCUAUGCUAAGGAAGGCAGACUCUUAUCUCAUUUCAUUUUAGUUUCUUAAACUAUCCUUGACUGAACUACCUCCAGAUUCUCUCUUUAAUCAUCGUGCUAUGCUAUGAAAGGUGUUUAGGUCAAGAAGUGAGUUAUUAUAAUCUUUUAGGUUAUUUUAGUUUGAGUUAUAGUAAUGUGUUUGGUAUGUAUGGUUUUAGUUUGAUAAAAAAUAGUAAACUCUGCCUAAUAAAAAAAAUUUGAAGAAUGUUAAAUAGUAAAUACUAUAACAAAUUGAGAGUUUUGAAAUAGUGUUUAAUGUAGUUAAUUGAAAGCUUUUAAAUAGUAUUUAUUAUACUAAGGAUGAUUACCUCAAAGGUUCCUAUAUUUUUGUAUGCUUUCUUUUCCUAUUAUUCUUAAACUUCUAGACUCCUCCAUUCAUCCCUGAAUUUUGAAUCCAUAUUUUCAGGUAAAAUAGUAGUGAAUGUGAACAAAUAAAUACUUUACAGAUGUGCAGUAGAAACCUUAAUGGAGUGCUAUUAAUAUUGGUUAUUGUUAAUUAAUUACUAUUAAAGAGAUGUAAUUAAUUAUAGUAUUAAGUGACCCAACUUGUCUAAUUUGACCUUGACGAAGGAAUUAAUGCGACAUCUUUUGCACAUAAAGUUAAUGGGAGAAAAUUCCUUACUUGUAAGUUUGGUAAAUACUUGAAGACCUGGGCUUUAAAUGAGCAAAUUUAGUGCAUGUUUUGAUUGAUUUUUAAUGUGUCUAGAAGUAGAAAAAAAAGUUUAUAAACACUUGAAAAGUAAAUCAAAAGCACCUCAGAGAGAAAUUGAGAAAUUGUGAUUAUUUGUAUUUGAAUAAUUUGAAUUAUGCAACAGCAUUAAUCUUGAAUGAAAUCACUUCUCUUAUUACAGUUUUUGAUUAUUUGUACAAUUACAAUGUAUUUAAUGAGUUUUGAGAAACAAGAAAAGGUACAAAUUUUCUUAGACUUCUCUAAUAUGUGUAGUUCUUUGCUUCGGCAUCAAUGAUUGUGACGACAGGAUGGAAAUACUUGCAAUGCAUCUCAGGAAUCAACUUCAUAACACCGGCGUUAUGAAGAGGAGAGAUUUCAGCUUCCUUCUACGGUAUUUUCAUCAGUUCUCCACACUAUGUCUUUUAAUCCGGAUGAGAAACUCUUAUAGAACUGCCACAUGCAAAUGAAAAAGCACAUUAAUAUAUACAGUAUUUGGGCCAUUAAGCUUUGGAAUGAGG